AAGUUUUAUAUAAACUCGUCUUGUUUCAAAAACCUUCAUCCUAAUUCAAAAUGAUGAACAAAAUCUUAUUACUGACUUUGAUGUUGGCUGUUGCGUCAAUGCUGAUUCUAAACGUAGAAGGAGCCUGCAGACCUGCAUGUCCGCCCGGUCAAGCAUGCAUUGGAGGCCAAUGUACGAAACAAUGAGGAUAAUUCGCAAGAUAUAUCAUCGGACAUCAUAAUCAAGGAACGACACGACAUAUUAAAGUGCUUAUAAACGGAUUAUAAUUAAUAAAAAUAAAUCAAAACAU